rnacentral:rRNA from 1 species
AAACUGUCCAGCUAGAGUCUUGUAGAGGGGGGUAGAAUUCCAGGUGUAGCGGUGAAAUGCGUAGAGAUCUGGAGGAAUACCGGUGGCGAAGGCGGCCCCCUGGACAAAGACUGACGCUCAGGUGCGAAAGCGUGGGGAGCAAACAGGAUUAGAUACCCUGGUAGUCCACGCCGUAAACGAUGUCGAUUUGGAGGCUGUGUCCUUGAGACGUGGCUUCCGGAGCUAACGCGUUAAAUCGACCGCCUGGGGAGUACGGCCGCAAGGUUAAAACUCAAAUGAAUUGACGGGGGCCCGCACAAGCGGUGGAGCAUGUGGUUUAAUUCGAUGCAACGCGAAGAACCUUACCUGGC